CAUUGUCCUCGCACUACGAAUCGUCGAAAAGACUUUCAAAUUUCCAUCGGUUAGCGUUCUGUCAUUGUUAAUCGAUUAUAUUCGUUCUUUUCGUCUAAAGUUGAACUAUUUAAUGCCGAACGGGGUGAUGUUGUUUUAAAGUGGCGCACUUUGCAAGGCCUGCACCACGUGCUAUAGGCAAAUGUAACAGCCGCUUUUUGGUAACCCCUAUCGACUGCCUGUAAAUGUGACUUCGUUUUACUUCGUCCCAUUGCUAUAUGAUGAUAAAGUGUUGGUAGGGACAUCUGAAUGGAUGUGAAGAAACGCCAACUACCCUGACAGCGUGGGGACGCAUCCGCGCGCGAAGCUACACUUUAGCUUUGUGCUAGCCUGUUUGCUAAAGCUAACAUUUGUUCUGAGUCGAUUUCCUAUCUGACAAGCGUUUUUCCUUUUUACAGUUUAACAGCUCUCAGGAUGCGGCAAGCAACUGAAUUGAAGCGCUUUUGGAGGCAGCAUCAAAGACUGGAGUCGUUAAAGAUGCUCCACUUUGGGUGUGAUUCACCUGACUGACAUCGGAGGUGUCGUCCUGGUUUAAAUUGAGGUAAGAUUUUAGUAUUUUUUUUAAUGACCUUUUGGCUGACUUAAAUGAUGAGUUCAUAGUUCAACAGAUAAUCUGUGAAGAUAACUAUUCGCCCCUAUCUGACAUGUUGGCCUGCGCCACAUCUCGGGCACAAAUGCAAAAUGAGAUUAUAAUUUUGAUUUUCCCUUUUUUUAGGUUAAAAGACCGCACGGUAUGUCAACUUGAAUAUUUUAUCUACUAUAUUUAGCACAAUGAUGACUUCAUAGUUCAGCGGAUAAUCAGUGAUGACUACUUUUCGCUCCUAUCUGAUGCGUGGCUUGAAUAAAUUGUUCACAUAAAAAUGUACGGGGCACUGUUAAAUUUGUUCCCUUUUCUCUCAUCCAGGCUUCAUGAAGCUAUGCUGAAAGAAGUGCGCGUUCACUUGCAUAUGGAGGUUCUAAUUCAAUCUUCUGAUGCAGAUUGGUGAGGAAAGCGAGUUUACUGCGUUCUGCAAAAGUCAUCGCUUCAGGAGCUGAGCCUACCUUGCAUGUAGAUCCCCCACCAUCAAGUGGAUGACCUGAAGCAUAACUGCAAGUUGACUGGCCGACUUGGGAAUUAAAGAGGAAGUGUGCAUCUCAUCACUCACCAGACUCUUCAUAGACAUGGGAGGACCACAAGUGGCUUUCAUUAAUUAUGGGGCAGUAAGGGGACACUUGAACUCACUCGAGAUGAGGCGGUCCUCAAGGAUACCUUGGCAAAAGCAACAAACGUACUAGAAUCUUGAGGUUGAAAGUCCUGUUUGGGCCAUGUGGCAAGUCAAACUCAAACGCGUGAAAGCACAAGACUUGGUUUUUUAAGUCACCUGAGGCG